rnacentral:rRNA from 1 species
CGUAGGGGGCGAGCGUUGUCCGGAUUUACUGGGCGUAAAGCGCGUGUAGGCGGCCGUUUAAGUUGGGUGUGAAAGCCCGGGGCUCAACCCCGGGACGCCGCCCAAGACUAGACGGCUUGAGGACGGAAGAGGGGAGUGGAAUUCCAGGUGUAGCGGUGAAAUGCGUAGAGAUCUGGAGGAGCACCCGUGGCGAAGGCGGCUCCCUGGUCCGUCCCUGACGCUGAGACGCGAAAGCGCGGGGAGCGAACGGGAUUAGAUACCCCGGUAGUCCGCGCCGUAAACGAUGGUCACUAGGUGUGCGAGGUAUCGACCCCUCGCGUGCCGGCGCUAACGCAUUAAGUGACCCGCCUGGGGAGUACGGCCGCAAGGUUG